rnacentral:rRNA from 1 species
UACGUAGGCAGCAAGCGUUGUUUGGAAUUACUGGGCGUAAAGAGUGUGUAGGCGGUGCUCCAAGUCUGGUGUGAAAUCUCCCGGCUCAACUGGGAGGGUGCGCCGGAAACUGGAAUGCUAGAGUGUGGGAGAGGUAAGCGGAAUUCCUGGUGUAGCGGUGAAAUGCGUAGAUAUCAGGAGGAACACCUGUGGUGUAGACAGCUUACUGGACCACGACUGACGCUGAGACACGAAAGCGUGGGUAGCAAACAGG